GACAGAGGGUGCAAACGUUGCUCGGAAUUACUGGGCGUAAAGCGCGUGUAGGCGGACCACCAAGUCGGACGCUGAAAGCCCUGAGCUCAACUACAGGAACUGCAUCCGAAACUGGCGGUCUGGAGUAGUGGAGAGGAAAGCAGAAUUCCUGGUGUAGAGGUGAAAUUCGUAGAUAUCAGGAGGAACACCGGUGGCGAAGGCGGCUUUCUGGACACUUACUGACGCUGAGACGCGAAAGCGUGGGGAGCAAACAGG
rnacentral:rRNA from 1 species